CUUACGUGAAUGUGCCAGUAAUGAGGGUUUCUUCUUUUAUAGGCUCAGAAAGACCGUUGAGAAGCCGUCCAAUCAGCUGUCAAGAAGACCCCGAGAUCAACAGACCCAGGGAUUAAUCCAAACUCAUAUAAACAGAAUAUGCGUUUUCCGCAAUAACACAACCCGGACCUUCAAAUUGAGGCUCAGAAAGACCGUUGAGAAGCCGUCCAAUCAGCUGUCAAGAAGACCCCGAGAUCAACAGACCCAGGGAUUAAUCCAAACUCAUAUAAACAGGUAAGAAAUAAU